rnacentral:rRNA from 1 species
GAUGAACGCUGGCGGCGUGCCUAAUACAUGCAAGUCGAGCGAAUGGAUUAAGAGCUUGCUCUUAUGAAGUUAGCGGCGGACGGGUGAGUAACACGUGGGUAACCUGCCCAUAAGACUGGGAUAACUCCGGGAAACCGGGGCUAAUACCGGAUAACAUUUUGAACCGCAUGGUUCGAAAUUGAAAGGCGGCUUCGGCUGUCAAUUAUGGAUGGACCCGCGUCGCAUUAGCUAGUUGGUGAGGUAACGGCUCACCAAGGCAACGAUGCGUAGCCGACCUGGGAGGUGGAUCGGCCACACUGAGACAGAGACACGGCCCAGACUCCUACGGGAGGCAACAGUAGGGAAUCUUCCGCAAUGGACGAAAGUCUGACGGAGCAACGCCGCGUGAUUGAUGAAGGCUUGCGGGUCGUAAAACUCUGUUGUUAGGGAAGAACAAGUGCUAGUUGAGUAAGCUGGCACCUUGACGGUACCUAACCAGAAAGCCACGGCUAACUACGUGCCAGCAGCCGCCGUAA